GAUGAACGCUGGCGGCGUGCCUAAUACGUGCAAGUCGAGCGAAUGGAUUAAGAGCUUGCUCUUAUGAAGUUAGCGGCGGACGGGUGAGUAACACGUGGGUAACCUGCCCAUAAGACUGGGAUAACUCCGGGAAACCGGGGCUAAUACCGGAUAAUAUUUUGAACUGCAUGGUUCAAAAUUGAAAGGCGGCUUCGGCUGUCACUUAUGGAUGGACCCGCGUCGCAUUAGCUAGUUGGUGAGGUAACGGCUCACCAAGGCAACGAAGCGUAGCCGACCUGGGAGGGUGACCGGCCACACGGGGACUGGGACACGGCCCAGACUCCUACGGGAGGCAGCAGUAGGGAAUCUUCCGCAAUGGACGAAAGUCUGACGGAGCAACGCCGCGUGAGUGAUGAAGGCUUUCGGGUCGUAAAACUCUGUUGUUAGGGAAGAACAAGUGCUAGUUGAAUAAGCUGGCACCUUGACGGUACCUAACCAGAAAGCCACGGCUAACUACGUGCCAGCCGCCGCAGUAA
rnacentral:rRNA from 1 species